rnacentral:tRNA from 2 species
GCGGGAAUAGCUCAGUUGGUAGAGCGCAACCUUGCCAAGGUUGAAGUCGCGGGUUCGAGUCCCGUUUCCCGCUC